GGACUCUAAAAAUAAAAAUAAAAAAAUUUAAAAAGUUUAGCUUGGCAACAACAAAGGGACAAACAUAGCUACAUGGGUUAAAAAUUUAAUAUAUACUCCUUUCAUACAACCAAGCAACUAAGGGCCCAAUGGAAUUAUAUCUAACGCUUUAGAAAAAAAAUAAAGAUGCUUGACACAGUUUAAUUAUCUAACAUAUAGUCAUAAAAUUAUCCAACAUUCAAGAGCAUAUAAAAAUGAAUUACAAUAGAAUGAUGAAGCUACUAAUAUUUUCCAACAUCAUUAUCUUUAAUUCCAACUCGAUUCUAGGAGUUUACAUGGUCCGAAAAUUACCUGGACAACAGAAAGAAGAACAAAUAUAGCAAAGUCAGCUCUUUCCAAAAUCAAGAAACAGACGACAAAAUAAUUAAACGGGCAGCAACACAGCAAAAGACAGCGGCAACCAGCAGAUUUCAAACCCAAGAAAAUGAACCAGAAAUACCCAGCAAAACAGUUGAAACUAGCAAUUAUGUAACUCCAGAAUAAGCUUUCAAAACUACUAUAUUUUCUUUAAAAAAUGUUUUGUACUUAAGAAUCAACUCACAAAAACUCUCAAUUUUUAGAUGCUAAAGGAUGCUUUAGCUGCUCUCUCCCUUUUUUUUUUUUUUUUUUUUUUUCUGUGUGUCCAGAUCUCUCCUACUGUUAUAAAGAUGUAUGUUUUAUAUAUGAGAAACAACCAACUAUUUCAUGAUUAAAAAUCAGUCUUUUUGAAAGAUAUUUCCACAAAAUCUGCACUUAAAUUCAAAAGGCAAGACUUUUUUGUUCAAUCUUGUCCAAAAGAGAGUAUUUCAACCAAAAUAUACCCUUCACUAUUCAAAGACAGACUUUUGUUCAAAAACUGUCCAAAUGUCUAUAUUUUCUUACCAAACAAAUGACUUUUGAGUUUUGUACUCAAAAAAUCUAUGAAGCAGUAAAUAAGCAAUCAAGUAAGUACCCUAUACUUUCAAGUAUUCCUUCACUACCUCACUUUCAUCAAUACAAAACUAUUCUACUACUUCAACAAGUGCAAAAACAGAAAAUUUAGCAUUUCAAACUUUAAAAACUAAUGCUAAAAUAAUUAAUAAGAGACAAAAUAAAAUCUGAAAAAAUAAAAAAUAAAAUAAAAAAAUAAGCCAUGAAAAAAAAAGAAUAAGUAUUUUUACCAUCUCACAAUUCAAGUGGCCGAAAUAAUGGUGGUAUGCCAAACGAGGACAUUCAGGGAGGUCGCCGGAAUUUGGCCGGAUUUUUGGGGCAGAAUUGACAUCAAUAGGUAGGUCUUGAGGAGCUCUAUCCGUUGAUGUAGGUAUUGUGGGGUGGUAGUGGCCGAAACUUCAAGAAUUUGGGCAAAAACGUGGCGGUUAAAAUUUUCUAGAUCUAAAAUUCAAGGAGUUCGAGGGGUUUUUGAAGGAUUUGGUUUGGAGAUAUGAAAAGAGGAGGUUGUGGAGAUUACAUGGUGUAAAUUUGGAGAUGUUUGGAGGUGGUACUCCGCUGAUGGGUGAUUUCCAGCGGCGGCGGAUAGAGAGAGUGAAGUUAGAGAGAAGAGAGGAGGAAGAAAAGAAUUAUGGGGAAAAUGAUGGCAAAUUUUCAGCAUUUUUAGGUCUUAAAUACCUAGUUAGGAGAUUGAUUAUGG
rnacentral:lncRNA from 1 species